AUCAGGACUUUUUCAUCUGAUGGCUUGGCUGAAUUCAGGGAACCCUGGUUGAUCAAUGGAGUUAUGCAUGGAUCUCUUCAUCUUCUUGAGGAUGCAUGGGCUCCAGUUACAAGGCACUCUUGCCACUCAGCCUGACAUACCUGGUCUGGUUAGUACAUGGGACAGGGUUUGGAUCCAGUAUUAGCUCCUUUAACUGCAGUUCUUUAUUUUCUCACCACUCUCUUUUUUUUGUGUGCAGGUGGUUACAUAGUGUUUCUAUCGCCACAACAGCGUUAUCACAUAUAAUCACAUACAGUCAAAUAUAGUUAAUCCAAACAGUGACAUAUGAGAAUUGCACAUUUUUGUUUCAUAGACAUGCUUAACAUUGCUAAUGUCUCCUUGAAUAAUAUGGUUGUCACUCGAUUUAGGUAAUCAAAUAUAUGCUGCAUUAGUGUAAUAGAUAAGGUGAAACUUUGCUUUUUCAUGUUAAACUAAAUUAAGUGUAACGUUACACCUUGGAUCUGGACAUGUAGGUCAGUGUGUAUAUUUUGCUGUACACUAGGUAGCUGUGGUCUGUUACAACAUAAGUAUGAUUUGUCAAGGUGAGUAUCUAGGAUGUGUUAGUUAAUAUUCAGGCUAAGGUGAAGUCACUUAGUUUAUAUCUUUGGGAGCAUUAUUUAUGGGUACUGUACAGCAUCAACAACAAAUCAAUUAGCAUAGAGAGAGAUAGAAGCAGAGAAAAUAAAUCAGAUGGUAAUGUAAUGUUAACUUAGCGCUCGUUACUUAAAGCAUAUGGAUAGAUUCUCUAGUUGUCGGAGAGGGAAUUUGCUCGGAUGGCAGUCCCUAGAGCAAGUUCAGCCAAUUCCUCUAGGUGUCAUAGCUGUUACCCCGCUUGGGUAUGUGCUGUUCCGGAGUGUGGUGCCUCCUCGGCCCCAGGCCUGCGUAAGGACCGGCAUCUUUGUACCACUGGCUUGGGUUCGUCGAGGGACCAAGUCUAUCCCCUGCAAGGGGAGGGCGGGACGGGUGAGUGGCAAUCUCCACCUGUCAUGACUGCUUUUCCACCCGUGUGGUCGGUGCCUCUGGGUUUUACCUUGGGUGGCCCCCGGCCUUGGUGAGCGGUCUUGGGGUUGUGAAUUCUUUGCUGCAGGUUUGCGCGCUGAGGAGGUGUAACCAUGCAUGGCUGCUCUCUUCUCCGGAGUCCCUUCCGCGGUAUAGGCUUGUAGAUUAUAGUUGCUGUUGUGCGUGUAUGUAUUUUCUGCUAGAAGUUCUGGAAGAUCUGGUCUAGCCGCCAUAGGGAGUAAGCAGUGGAAUCGCUGAAUGCCCUCUCGGUUGCAUUCACGCCGCAUGCUUUUGUACACGACAUAUCCGCUAUCUUGAAAUGUCAUUGAGUCGAGCGUUAGCUAUCCAAUUAAUGUGUAAAGCUGAAAUGGUACAGCCGAUUACACUCCAGAGUGGACCGGGAUAUCCCCUGCCGGUCCAGAGGGGGGGGGGAGGGGUAAGCGAUUCUCGUCUAGCUCAUCUAGCUCUCCUCCAUUCGGUCCCCAGUAGGCCGCAGCCUGUCGCCUCAGUUCUUGGAGCCUCAGGAUGUAGGCUAAAGUGCCCAAAGGUAGGUUAGGGUGUCCCCAGCAUGGGAAUCACCUUACUUUUAGGUCUCCGGCGUGUUAAUACCGGGUAAUCACCGGUAAAACAGCAUUAGCAGUGGGAGCUUGUGCGAUGCACUUCCUGCCAGCUUGCAGUCCG